UACGGAAGGCAGCAGUGGGGAAUAUUGCACAAUGGGCGCAAGCCUGAUGCAGCCAUGCCGCGUGUAUGAAGAAGGCCUUCGGGUUGUAAAGUACUUUCAGCGGGGAGGAAGGCGAUGCGGUUAAUAACCGCGUCGAUUGACGUUACCCGCAGAAGAAGCACCGGCUAACUCCGUGCCAGCAGCCGCGGUAAUACGGAGGGUGCAAGCGUUAAUCGGAAUUACUGGGCGUAAAGCGCACGCAGGCGGUCUGUUAAGUCAGAUGUGAAAUCCCCCGGGCUUAACCUGGGAACUGCAUUUUGAAACUGGCAGGCUUGAGUCUUGUAGAGGGGGUAGAAUUCCAGGUGUAGCGGUGAAAUGCGUAGAGAUCUGGAGGAAUACCGGUGGCGAAGGCGGCCCCUGGACAAAGACUGACGCUCAGGUGCGAAAGCGUGGGGAGCAAACAGGAUUAGAUACC
rnacentral:rRNA from 1 species